rnacentral:rRNA from 1 species
GGAAUAUUGGACAAUGGGCGCAAGCCUGAUCCAGCCAUGCCGCGUGUGUGAAGAAGGCCUUCGGGUUGUACAGCCCUUUUGUACGGGAAGAAAAGCACCUGGUUAAUACCCGGGUGUAAUGAAGGUACCGUAAGAAUAAGCACCGGCUAACUUUGUGCCAGCAGCCGCGGUAAUACGCAGGGUGCAAGCGUUACUCGGAAUUACUGGGCGUAAAGCGUGCGUAGGUGGUUUGUUAAGUCUGAUGUGAAAGCCCUGGGCUCAACCUGGGAAUUGCAUUGGAUACUGGCAACCUAGAGUGCGGUAGAGGGUAGCGGAAUUCCCGGUGUAGCAGUGAAAUGCGUAGAUAUCGGGAGGAACAUCCGUGGCGAAGGCGGCUACCUGGACCAGCACUGACACUGAGGCACGAAAGCGUGGGGAGCAAAC